GGCUGAAAUACCCCACGGACAAGAGGAAGAGGAGGAUAUUCUUCAUCUUUGACUCUGAACUGCAGCCAUAUUCGUCAGAACAAGCUAACGGCUAACGGCUAACGGCAGCGCAACACUCCAUAAAGUUCGCAGCCCUCGGACAUCAGGUGAUCAUCCAGACACUGAUGAAGCGCGUAAACAAGAUGAUUUUGAGUGUAUCAGGUGAGAUAUUGACCCAUUGAGCUUCAGCUAAUCAGAAAGUUAAAUAAAUGUUUUCCAACUUGCAGACUGUCUAGACUCAAGGCAGCCAUUUUGAAUUUUGAGGCUACAACUGGUAAAAAAAAACAAACUUUCCGAACUUCUUGGUAUUUUCAGGUGAUUUUUUAAAACUCGGGUGUCAGAAAUGUUUACUGAAACUUUACAGUAUGAAGGAAAUGAAGCUUCUUAUGGAGGAAAAACCCAAAGUUGGAAUUAAAACUGGGAAAUUUAAAGUUCUGUAAACAGCCGUAUGUUCAGAAUCCAAGAUGGCUGCUGCACAUCAAUGUAGCUGAAAUCCAGUUUGCAAGCAGCUCUGAUGGUUUGAGCUAAACAUUCCCGUCAGUGUCAGAAUGAAUAAAAUGGAGGGAAAUGUUUUCAUCCUGCUUUGCUAGUAGCCGUUAGCACCAAAACAAUUAGCUUACUGGUUGUAACUGGUGAGUUUUCCCACAUAGGGGCUCAAACUUCAGAGAUAAAACCAAAACGCAUCAUAAUGCCACGAGCGUUUAC